UCCGAUCUGUUUCCCAGUCACGAUAGAUUCAAGGGUAGCAAUAUUCUUGAGUCGGAGUGGCGCAAGGGUGCGUAACACGUGGGCAAUCUGCCGCGAAGCCUGGAAUAACCUGCUGAAAAGUGGGCUAAUGCCGGAUGUGACUGUUGGGGGGAUUCCUCUGACACUCAAAGUUGGGGACCGAAAGGCCUGACGCUUUGCGAUGAGCCCGCGGCCUAUCAGCUAGUUGGCGAGGUAACGGCUCACCAAGGCUAAGACGGGUAGCUGGUCUGAGAGGACGACCAGCCACACUGGAACUGAGACACGGUCCAGACACCUACGGGUGGCAGCAGUCGAGAAUUUUUCACAAUGGGGGAAACCCUGAUGGAGCGACGCCGCGUGGGGGAUGAAGGGCUUCGGUCCGUAAACCCCUGUCAUUGGCGAACAAGGGUUGCGUCCUAAUACGGCGUAACUUGAUAGUAGUCGAAGAAGAAGGGACGGCUAACUCUGUGCCAGCAGCCGCGGUAAUACAGAGGUCCCGAGCGUUGUUCGGAUUCACUGGGCGUAAAGGGUGCGUAGGUGGUUGGUUAAGUUUGAGGUGAAAGCUCCGAGCUCAACUCGGAAAAUGCCUUGAAGACUAUCUGACUAGAGGAUCGGAGGGGAGACUGGAAUUCUCGGUGUAGCAGUGAAAUGCGUAGAUAUCGAGAGGAACACCAGUGGCGAAGGCGAGUCUCUGGACAAUUCCUGACACUGAGGCACGAAAGCCAAGGGAGCAAACGGGAUUAGAUACCCCGGUAGUCUUGGCUGUAAACGGUGCGCACUUGCUGUGAGCGGAUUCGACCCCGCUCGUGGCGAAGUUAACACGAUAAGUGCGCCGCCUGGGAAGUACGGUCGCAAGAUUAAAACUCAAAGAAAUUGACGGGGGCCUGCACAAGCGGUGGAGUAUGUGGCAAUAUCGUGA
rnacentral:rRNA from 1 species